GCUGGGUGGAUUAGUGGCGAACGGGUGAGUAACACGUGAGCAACCUGCCCCUGACUCUGGGAUAAGCGCUGGAAACGGCGUCUAAUACUGGAUAUGUCCCGUCACCGCAUGGUGUGCGGGUGGAAAGAUUUUUCGGUUGGGGAUGGGCUCGCGGCCUAUCAGCUUGUUGGUGAGGUAAUGGCUCACCAAGGCGUCGACGGGUAGCCGGCCUGAGAGGGUGACCGGCCACACUGGGACUGAGACACGGCCCAGACUCCUACGGGAGGCAGCAGUGGGGAAUAUUGCACAAUGGGCGGAAGCCUGAUGCAGCAACGCCGCGUGAGGGAUGACGGCCUUCGGGUUGUAAACCUCUUUUAGCAGGGAAGAAGCGAAAGUGACGGUACCUGCAGAAAAAGCACCGGCUAACUACGUGCCAGCAGCCGCGGUAAUACGUAGGGUGCAAGCGUUAUCCGGAAUUAUUGGGCGUAAAGAGCUCGUAGGCGGUCUGUCGCGUCUGCUGUGAAAUUCCGAGGCUCAACCUCGGGCUUGCAGUGGGUACGGGCAGACUAGAGUGCGGUAGGGGAGAUUGGAAUUCCUGGUGUAGCGGUGGAAUGCGCAGAUAUCAGGAGGAACACCGAUGGCGAAGGCAGAUCUCUGGGCCGUAACUGACGCUGAGGAGCGAAAGGGUGGGGAGCAAACAGGCUUAGAUACCCUGGUAGUCCACCCCGUAAACGUUGGGAACUAGUUGUGGGGUCCUUUCCACGGAUUCCGUGACGCAGCUAACGCAUUAAGUUCCCCGCCUGGGGAGUACGGCCGCAAGGCUAAAACUCAAAGGAAUUGACGGGGACCCGCACAAGCGGCGGAGCAUGCGGAUUAAUUCGAUGCAACGCGAAGAACCUUACCAAGGCUUGACAUACACGAGAACGGGCCAGAAAUGGUCAACUCUUUGGACACUCGUGAACAGGUGGUGCAUGGUUGUCGUCAGCUCGUGUCGUGAGAUGUUGGGUUAAGUCCCGCAACGAGCGCAACCCUCGUUCUAUGUUGCCAGCACGUAAUGGUGGGAACUCAUGGGAUACUGCCGGGGUCAACUCGGAGGAAGGUGGGGAUGACGUCAAAUCAUCAUGCCCCUUAUGUCUUGGGCUUCACGCAUGCUACAAUGGCCGGUACAAUGGGCUGCGAUACCGUAAGGUGGAGCGAAUCCCAAAAAGCCGGUCCCAGUUCGGAUUGAGGUCUGCAACUUGACCUCAUGAAGUCGGAGUCGCUAGUAAUCGCAGAUCAG
rnacentral:rRNA from 1 species